AAAGGAAUAGACGGGGACCCGCACAAGCGGUGGAGCAUGUGGUUUAAUUCGACGAUACGCGAAGAACCUUACCUGGCCUUGACAUAGAAUGAACUCGCUAGAGAUAGCUUGGUGCUAGUUUACUAGAGCAUUCAUACAGGUGCUGCACGGCUGUCGUCAGCUCGUGUCGUGAGAUGUUGGGUUAAGUCCCGCAACGAGCGCAACCCUCGUGUUUAGUUACUAACAGUUCGGCUGAGGACUCUAGACAGACUGCCUGGGUAACCAGGAGGAAGGUGAGGACGACGUCAAGUCAUCAUGGCCCUUACGGCCAGGGCUACACACGUGCUACAAUGGGGUAUACAAAGAGCCGCAAUACCGUGAGGUGGAGCAAAUCUCAUAAAAUAUCUCCCAGUUCGGAUAGUAGUCUGCAACUCGACUACUGGAAGUUGGAAUCGCUAGUAAUCGUAGAUCAGCAAUGCUACGGUGAAUACGUUCCCGGGUCUUGUACUCACCGCCCGUCACA
rnacentral:rRNA from 1 species